GACGAACGCUGGCGGCGUGCUUAACACAUGCAAGUCGAACGUGAUUUUUAAGGAAAGCCCUUCGGGGAAGGAAUUAAAAUGAAAGUGGCGAACGGGUGAGUAACACGUGAGCAACCUACCUUACACAGGGGGAUAGCCGUUGGAAACGACGAUUAAUACCGCAUGAGACCACAGAAUCGCAUGAUAUAGGGGUCAAAGAUUUAUCGGUGUAAGAAGGGCUCGCGUCUGAUUAGCUAGUUGGAAGGGUAAAGGCCUACCAAGGCGACGAUCAGUAGCCGGUCUGAGAGGAUGAACGGCCACAUUGGAACUGAGACACGGUCCAAACUCCUACGGGAGGCAGCAGUGGGGAAUAUUGCACAAUGGGGGGAACCCUGAUGCAGCGACGCCGCGUGAGCGAAGAGGGUUUUCGAAUCGUAAAGCUCUGUCCUAUGAGAAGAUAANGACG
rnacentral:rRNA from 1 species